CUUCUAAUGAUGAUAACCUUGUCCAGUUCUGCUACUGAAGGGACAGCGAUGACAUUUUAUGGUGCUGAGGAAG
ensembl:snoRNA small nucleolar RNA, C/D box 38A